GGACCCGCACAAGCGGUGGAUGAUGUGGAUUAAUUCGAUGCAACGCGAAAAACCUUACCUACCCUUGACAUGUCCAGGAGCCCUUAGAGAUUUGGGUGUGCCCGAAAGGGAACUGGAACACAGGUGCUGCAUGGCUGUCGUCAGCUCGUGUCGUGAGAUGUUGGGUUAAGUCCCGCAACGAGCGCAACCCUUGUCGUUAAUUGCCAUCAUUUAGUUGGGCACUUUAACGAGACUGCCGGUGACAAACCGGAGGAAGGUGGGGAUGACGUCAAGUCCUCAUGGCCCUUAUGGGUAGGGCUUCACACGUCAUACAAUGGUCGGUACAAAGGGUUGCCAACCCGCGAGGGGGAGCUAAUCCCAGAAAGCCGAUCGUAGUCCGGAUCGUAGGCUGCAACUCGCCUGCGUGAAGUCGGAAUCGCUAGUAAUCGUGGAUCAGCAUGUCACGGUGAAUACGUUCCCGGGUCUUGUACACACCGCCCGUCACACCAUGGGAGCGGGUUCCGCCAGAAGUAGGUAGCCUAACCGCAAGGAGGGCGCUUACCACGGCGGGGUUCGUGACUGGGGUGAAGUCGUAACAAGGUAGCCGUAGGGGAACCUGCGGCU
rnacentral:rRNA from 1 species